GGUUAAGCGACUAAGCGUACACGGUGGAUGCCCUGGCAGUCAGAGGCGAUGAAGGRCGUGCUAAUCUGCGAUAAGCGCCGGUAAGGUGAUAUGAACCGUUAUAACCGGCGAUWYCCGAAUGGGGAAACCCAGUGUGACUCGUCACACUAUCAUUAACUGAAUCCAUAGGUUAAUGAGGCGAACCGGGGGAACUGAAACAUCUAAGUACCCCGAGGAAAAGAAAUCAACCGAGAUUCCCCCAGUAGCGGCGAGCGAACGGGGAGGAGCCCAGAGCCUGAAUCAGCAUGUGUGUUAGUGGAAGCGUCUGGAAAGGCGCGCGAUACAGGGUGACAGCCCCGUACACAAAAGCGCAUGUGCUGUGAGCUCGAUGAGUAGGGCGGGACACGUGGUAUCCUGUCUGAAUAUGGGGGGACCAUCCUCCAAGGCUAAAUACUCCUGACUGACCGAUAGUGAACCAGUACCGUGAGGGAAAGGCGAAAAGAACCCCGGCGAGGGGAGUGAAAAAGAACCUGAAACCGUGUACGUACAAGCAGUGGGAGCACAGGUUUACCUGUGUGACUGCGUACCUUUUGUAUAAUGGGUCAGCGACUUAUAUUCUGUAGCAAGGUUAACCGAAUAGGGGAGCCGGAGGGAAACCGAGUCUUAAUUGGGCGUUAAGUUGCAGGGUAUAGACCCGAAACCCGGUGAUCUAGCCAUGGGCAGGUUGAAGGUUGGGUAACACUAACUGGAGGACCGAACCGACUAAUGUUGAAAAAUUAGCGGAUGACCUGUGGCUGGGGGUGAAAGGCCAAUCAAACCGGGAGAUAGCUGGUUCUCCCCGAAAGCUAUUUAGGUAGCGCCUCGUGAAUUCAUCUCCGGGGGUAGAGCACUGUUUCGGCUAGGGGGCCAUCCCGGCUUACCAACCCGAUGCAAACUGCGAAUACCGGAGAAUGUUAUCACGGGAGACACACGGCGGGUGCUAACGUCCGUCGUGAAGAGGGAAACAACCCAGACCGCCAGCUAAGGUCCCAAAGUCAUGGUUAAGUGGGAAACGAUGUGGGAAGGCCCAGACAGCCAGGAUGUUGGCUUAGAAGCAGCCAUCAUUUAAAGAAAGCGUAAUAGCUCACUGGUCGAGUCGGCCUGCGCGGAAGAUGUAACGGGGCUAAACCAUGCACCGAAGCUGCGGCAGCGACGCUGAUGCGUUGUUGGGUAGGGGAGCGUUCUGUAAGCCUGCGAAGGUGGCCUGUGAGGGUUGCUGGAGGUAUCAGAAGUGCGAAUGCUGACAUAAGUAACGAUAAAGCGGGUGAAAAGCCCGCUCGCCGGAAGACCAAGGGUUCCUGUCCAACGUUAAUCGGGGCAGGGUGAGUCGACCCCUAAGGCGAGGCCGAAAGGCGUAGUCGAUGGGAAACGGGUUAAUAUUCCCGUACUUGGUGUUACUGCGAAGGGGGGACGGAGAAGGCUAUGUUGGCCGGGCGACGGUUGUCCCGGUUUAAGCGUGUAGGUGUGUGUUCCAGGUAAAUCCGGUUCACUUUAACACUGAGGCGUGAUGACGAGGCACUACGGUGCUGAAGCAACAAAUGCCCUGCUUCCAGGAAAAGCCUCUAAGCAUCAGGUAACAUCAAAUCGUACCCCAAACCGACACAGGUGGUCAGGUAGAGAAUACCAAGGCGCUUGAGAGAACUCGGGUGAAGGAACUAGGCAAAAUGGUGCCGUAACUUCGGGAGAAGGCACGCUGACACGUAGGUGAAGUGAUUUACUCAUGGAGCUGAAGUCAGUCGAAGAUACCAGCUGGCUGCAACUGUUUAUUAAAAACACAGCACUGUGCAAACACGAAAGUGGACGUAUACGGUGUGACGCCUGCCCGGUGCCGGAAGGUUAAUUGAUGGGGUCAGCGCAAGCGAAGCUCCUGAUCGAAGCCCCGGUAAACGGCGGCCGUAACUAUAACGGUCCUAAGGUAGCGAAAUUCCUUGUCGGGUAAGUUCCGACCUGCACGAAUGGCGUAAUGAUGGCCAGGCUGUCUCCACCCGAGACUCAGUGAAAUUGAACUCGCUGUGAAGAUGCAGUGUACCCGCGGCAAGACGGAAAGACCCCGUGAACCUUUACUAUAGCUUGACACUGAACAUUGAGCCUUGAUGUGUAGGAUAGGUGGGAGGCUUUGAAGUGUGGACGCCAGUCUGCAUGGAGCCGACCUUGAAAUACCACCCUUUAAUGUUUGAUGUUCUAACGUGGACCCGUGAUCCGGGUUGCGGACAGUGUCUGGUGGGUAGUUUGACUGGGGCGGUCUCCUCCUAAAGAGUAACGGAGGAGCACGAAGGUUGGCUAAUCCUGGUCGGACAUCAGGAGGUUAGUGCAAUGGCAUAAGCCAGCUUGACUGCGAGCGUGACGGCGCGAGCAGGUGCGAAAGCAGGUCAUAGUGAUCCGGUGGUUCUGAAUGGAAGGGCCAUCGCUCAACGGAUAAAAGGUACUCCGGGGAUAACAGGCUGAUACCGCCCAAGAGUUCAUAUCGACGGCGGUGUUUGGCACCUCGAUGUCGGCUCAUCACAUCCUGGGGCUGAAGUAGGUCCCAAGGGUAUGGCUGUGAGUUCUCCCUGAGACUUAAAGUCUCCUGAAGGAACGUUGAAGACGACGACGUUGAUAGGCCGGGUGUGUAAGCGCAGCGAUGCGUUGAGCUAACCGGUACUAAUGAACCGUGAGGCUUAACCUU
rnacentral:rRNA from 1 species